rnacentral:rRNA from 1 species
AUCCUACGGGAGGCAGCAGUGGGGAAUAUUGGGCAAUGGGCGCAAGCCUGACCCAGCAACGCCGCGUGAAGGAAGAAGGCUUUCGGGUUGUAAACUUCUUUUCUCAGGGACGAAUAGAUGACGGUACCUGAGGAAUAAGCCACGGCUAACUACGUGCCAGCAGCCGCGGUAAUACGUAGGUGGCAAGCGUUAUCCGGAUUUAUUGGGUUUAAAGGGUGCGCAGACGGGAAAUUAAGUUAGUUGUGAAAUCCCUCGGCUCAACUGAGGAACUGCAACUAAAACUGAUUUUCUUGAGUGCAGGAGAG